GCAGCUGAUGACAUUACUUUUUUCCCC
rnacentral:piRNA from 1 species